AGCUGGAGUGGGGGGUCCAGCGGUUCCUAGGGCAGCAGUGGGGGCGUUCCUCUGUGGGAAAGACCCUGGUUCACAGUUAAUGCCUCCUCCCUAGCCAAACAGAAAGUGGGCGAACGUGCGACAAAGGAAA
rnacentral:snoRNA from 1 species